rnacentral:rRNA from 1 species
AAUCCUGAGAAAACUUAGGAGUGCCCUUCGGGGAGCUGUGAGACAGGUGGUGCAUGGUUGUCGUCAGCUCGUGUCGUGAGAUGUUGGGUUAAGUCCCGCAACGAGCGCAACCCCUAUAUUUAGUUGCUAACGAGUAAGGUCGAGCACUCUAGAUAGACUGCCGGUGACAAACCGGAGGAAGGUGGGGAUGACGUCAAAUCAUCAUGCCCCUUAUGUCUUGGGCUACACACGUAAUACAAUGGCCGGUACAGACGGAAGCGAAGCCGUGAGGUGGAGCGAAUCCGAGAAAGCCGGUCUCAGUUCGGAUUGUUCUCUGCAACUCGAGAACAUGAAGUCGGAAUCGCUAGUAAUCGCAGGUCAGCAUACUGCGGUGAAUACGUUCCCGGGCCUUGUACACACCGCCCGUCACACCACGAAAGUCUGCAACACCCGAAGCCGGUGAGGUAACCCGAAAGGGAGCUAGCCGUCGAAGGUGGGGCCGAUGAUUGGGGUGAAGUCGUAACAAGGUAACC